ACCCCUGGAGGCUGAGCGGUGUCACAGCUUCACCUCAUCCAGGUUCAGCUGCAGCCACUUCAUUCUGCAGCUGAGUCCCUGACAAUGAGCCUGGCCGCUUUGCUGCUGGUGCUGGCUCCAGGUGCGUUGGCCCAAUACACGGUGACCCAGGAGCCGUCCCAGGUCGCUGCCAAGGAAGGAGAAUCCAUCCAGCUCAACUGCUCCUACACGGGCACCGAGUACAGCGUGCAUUGGUACCGCCAGCCCCAGGGGGGCCAGCCGCGGUUCCUGGCGCUCCUGUCCUCUAGCCGCAGAGACACCCGAGAGAAUUUCACCAUGAGCCUGGACACCAAAACCAAAAGCAGCUUCUUGUACCUCAACAGCAGCCGCCUGGAAGACUCUGCUGUGUAUCUGUGCGCGCUGGAGCACAGUGCCAGGUGAGCACAGGCAGCCCGUCACAAAACCCUGGGUGGGGGCAGGGCACACGGACCCGAGAGAGGAGACAAGCAGAAGUUAGAAUAGAACAGCGGAUAUGAGCACAGAGAGAAGAAAGGAAAGUAGAACAGAGUCGGCGAGAGGCAAUAAGAAUAGAAUGGAACAGAAGAGAACACACGGGAACGGACCGGAACAGGAGCGAUGUGAACAGAAUAAAGGGGAGAGAAGAGAAGAGGGGUCAGUAAUUUAAGGAAGAAACUUGAAGAAUCAGCUGGAAAAUUAUAGACAUUUUCACCUUUUCGCCUUCCCCAAUUGCCUGGAUCUGGUG